UAUUAUCAAUCUUAGGUUCUAAGUUCUAUCAAAAUAUUGCUUAAAAAAAAUAUAUAAUUAAUAUUAUUACCACAUGAAACUCUUCUUUAGGUAAUCAAAGAUCUUUCGGUUUGUUGAAAGAAAAUCUUCUAGCAGACAUGUGAUGUGUGACACUCUUUAGAUUGAAGAGCCAAGAUAUUUCAUAUAAUGAGAUGAGCAAUUUGAUGUUUUUUGAAUUUUUCCAACUGAAUAGAUUAAAAUUACAAAAAUCGAAUGAGUGAAUAUUUCUAAAAUAAAAUAAAAAGAAAAGAAAAUGUUUUGAGAUCGUUCCUAUUUAUUAGAUUUUUAUUAUAUCACAUAUACAUAUAAAUCACAAAUGAGUUUUCCAUAGUUUGGGUUUAUAAAUAUUACACAUACAUAAAAACACACAAAUUAAUAAUAUUUUAUUAAUAAAAGAAUUUAAUGAUUUUUCAGUUUAUUUUAUUAAUUAUCUAACUUUACGACAAUUUUCAUAUAAGAUUUCAUUAUAUCAAUUAUUAGAAGAUGAAGUAAAUGAUUCUUAAUAGUUUUUUUUUUUUUUUUUUUUUUAUGAAUGUGAAAAUAUAUUCAAACCAAAAAAAGUUCCUUUGUACAUGAAAGCAUCCUUAUAUCAAAAGAUUUGAAUAAAAAGUUAAAAAACGUGUAAGCAAAAUAAGGCAGAGAGAAAGAGAAGAGUUUAGGUGCGAGCAGCCAGCCAAAGUUGGAGGCCAUCACCAAACUUUGUCGACUGGUCCUGCAUUGAGAGAAGCUUAUUCCGAA
rnacentral:lncRNA from 1 species